rnacentral:rRNA from 1 species
CCCCUUUAGCAUUCCACCCUGCAUCCCACUGCUGGCUUGCCUCUGAAGCUAAGCAGGGUUGGUUCUAGUGGUUCCCCAGAUGGGAGACCAGAUGCUGCUGGAAGUGGUGUUGGAGGGCC